rnacentral:rRNA from 1 species
UACGUAGGGAGCAAGCGUUGUCCGGAAUCAUUGGGCGUAAAGAGCGUGUAGGCGGCCCGGUAAGUCCGCUGUGAAAGUCCAGGGCUCAACCCUGGGAUGCCGGUGGAUACUGUCAGGCUCGAGUCCGGAAGAGGCGAGUGGAAUUCCUGGUGUAGCGGUGAAAUGCGCAGAUAUCAGGAGGAACACCAAUUGCGAAGGCAGCUUACUAAAGUAUGAUUGACGCUGAGGCACGAAAGCGUGGGGAUCAAACAGG